rnacentral:tRNA from 1 species
GCCUGGGUGGCUCAGUCGGUCAAGCAUCCGACUUUGGCUCGGGUCGUGAUCUCACACCCCGUGAGUUCAAGCCCCACGUCGGGCU